GUCCAGACUCCUACGGGAGGCAGCAGUGGGGGAUAUUGCACAAUGGAGGAAACUCUGAUGCAGCGACGCCGCGUGAGGGAAGACGGUCUUCGGAUUGUAAACCUCUGUCUUUGGGGAAGAAAAUGACGGUACCCACAGAGGAAGCAUCGGCUAACUCCGUGCCAGCAGCCGCGGUAAUACGGGGGAUGCAAGCGUUGUCCGGAAUCAUUGGGCGUAAAGAGUUCGUAGGUGGCACGUUAAGUCUGGUGUUAAAUGCAGAGGCUCAACCUCUGUUCGGCACUGGAUACUGGCGAGCUUGAAUGCGGUAGAGGUAAAGGGAAUUCCUGGUGUAGCGGUGAAAUGCGUAGAUAUCAGGAGGAACAUCGGUGGCGUAAGCGCUUUACUGGGCCGUAAUUGACACUGAGGAACGAAAGCCAGGGUAGCAAAUGGGAUUAGAUACCCCAGUA
rnacentral:rRNA from 1 species